rnacentral:rRNA from 1 species
ACGCGGCGGCGUGCCUAAUACAUGCAAGUCGAGCGGGUUUACCCUUCGGGGUAAGCUAGCGGCGGACGGGUGAGUAACACGUAGGUAACCUGCCUAUAAGAUCGGGAUAACUAUCGGAAACGAUAGCUAAGACCGGAUAACUGGUUUUCUCGCAUGAGAGAAUUAUGAAACACGGAGCAAUCUGUGGCUUAUAGAUGGGCCUGCGGCGCAUUAGCUAGUUGGUAGGGUAACGGCCUACCAAGGCGACGAUGCGUAGCCGACCUGAGAGGGUGAACGGCCACACUGGGACUGAGACACGGCCCAGACUCCUACGGGAGGCAGCAGUAGGGAAUCUUCCGCAAUGGACGCAAGUCUGACGGAGCAACGCCGCGUGAGUGAUGAAGGUUUUCGGAUCGUAAAGCUCUGUUGCCCUAGACGAACAGCAAGGAGAGUAACUGCUCUUUGUGUGACGGUAUAGGAGAAGAAAGCCCCGGCUAACUACGUGCCAGCAGCCGCGGUAAUACGUAGGGGGCAAGCGUUGUCCGGAAUUAUUGGGCGUAAAGCGCGCGCAGGCGGUCAAUUAAGUUGGGUGUUUAAGCCCGGGGCUCAACCCCGGUUCGCAUCCAAAACUGGUUGACUUGAGUGUAGGAGAGGAAAGUGGAAUUCCACGUGUAGCGGUGAAAUGCGUAGAGAUGUGGAGGAACACCAGUGGCGAAGGCGACUUUCUGGCCUAUAACUGACGCUGAGGCGCGAAAGCGUGGGGAGCAAACAGGAUUAGAUACCCUGGUAGUCCACGCCGUAAACGAUGCAUACUAGGUGUUGGGGAUUCGAUUCCUCGGUGCCGAAGUUAACACAGUAAGUAUGCCGCCUG